rnacentral:miRNA from 1 species
UACUGGCCCUUCAAGUUUCUC